UAUGCGUCGGAUGUACGCGAUGAUGGCGGGGAAGAGUACAAUCCAGAAGUUGGCCAGAAAGAUUACAAAAAGACCUGUUAUGUGUCUUGCCAUCUUGGUGCUUUGUGUCUACUUCAUUGUGUUCAUGAGAAAGCCUUCAUAUGAAUACGAAUACAUAGAUUUGUCUCAUCUUAAAAAUAUACCAGAAGAAAUAGAACCAGUUAUAUUCGACAAUAUCACCUUUCACAAG